rnacentral:rRNA from 1 species
GACAAGCGGAGGAACAUGUGGUUAAUUCGAUGAUACGCGAGGAACCUUACCCGGGCUUGAAAUGCAUCUGACAGGGGCGGAGACGCCCUCUCCCUUCGGGGCAGAUGUGUAGGUGCUGCAUGGUUGUCGUCAGCUCGUGCCGUGAGGUGUCGGCUUAAGUGCCAUAACGAGCGCAACCCUCAUCAUUAGUUACCAUCAGGUGAAGCUGGGGACUCUAGUGAGACUGCCAUCGUAAGAUGCGAGGAAGUGGGGAUGACGUCAAAUCAGCACGGCCCUUACGUCCGGGGCGACACACGUGUUACAAUGGGUGGUACAAAGGGCAGCUACAUGGCGACAUGAUGCUAAUCUCCAAAACCGCUCUCAGUUCGGAUCGGAGUCUGCAACUCGACUCCGUGAAGCUGGAUUCGCUAGUAAUCGCGCAUCAGCCACGGCGCGGUGAAUACGUUCCCGGGCCUU